rnacentral:lncRNA from 10 species
CUCCCACUGUGGUUUGCACUAUUUCCCAAAAAUGGAAUGGUGAAGUCUUCAGUCCUGAUGCCUGUAAAUGGGACCCUAUUUGGAAACAGGGUCUUUGCCAUUAAUUUCAGAGGAGCUCACUAGGGUGGGCCUGAUCCCGUGUUGCAAGCGCCCUUGUAGGAAGGGUUUAGGACUGAGCCCACGACGAGGCCUUGUGAAGGGCAGAGCCAGGGGAUGGCCCUGUGAUGAUGGAGGCUGAGCUGGGAGGGUGCGUCUGAGCCAGGGAAUGUCGGGGACGGCUGGUGUCCCCAGAAGCUGAGAGGGAGCCCGGCCCUGCAGACAUCCAGUGUCAGGCUUCAGCCCCAGAGCUGUGAGAGGGUGAGAGGGUCCAUCUCUGCCACUCCCAGCAGCCCGGGGAAACACACACACCACUAGCCCCGAGCCCCAGGCCUGCUUUCCUGCCCCUUCUUCACCUCCUCCACAUUCUCUCCACAUUUGCCUCUCAGCGUCUUUGCUCCCUGUUCCAUUUGCUGGUUGAUCUGGGAGCUCGUUUCUUCCUUAAUCCCUUAUAAUCUCAUGGAAUGAUGUUUGGGAGCCCCCCAGAUAACUCCGGAGAACAGAGGCUGGGCCAGGUCUUUCAACUGGGAUUUAUUGCACAGGUUCCUUCUGAGAUUCGGCCGCCUAGGCCCCUGAAAUCAGAGGCAGUGCCUACCAACAGCUACCAGGGGUGUGGCUGAAGUUAAAGUUUAAGGAAUUGGCGGACAGUUCCCUCGCCCAUCACUCGUCUAACUCAGAAAACACAUCCUGUCUCCAUCGCAGGGUGGGCAGGGUGCAUCCGUCUAAAUUGGCUGUAAUCCUCUUUCUUUCCAAUCCAGUUAUUAACACAGGGUGUGGCAACGCAGUCCAAGCCCACAGGUGGGUCUCCCAACGCCACACAUCUGCCGAUUGUUACUAAGAGUUUUCAUUUUCACCUUUUUCCCUUUGCUUCAGUUCAUUUACCAUCUUUGGUCCUCAUGAGCGCCCCAG